UACGUAGGGGGCAAGCGUUGUCCGGAUUUAUUGGGCGUAAAGAGCGUGUAGGCGGCCACACAGGUCCGCUGUGAAAACUCGAGGCUCAACCUCGAGCUGUCGGUGGAAACCGUGUGGCUAGAGUCCGGAAGAGGAGAGUGGAAUUCCUGGUGUAGCGGUGAAAUGCGCAGAUAUCAGGAAGAACACCCGUGGCUAAGGCGGCUCUCUAGUACGGUACUGACGCUGAGACGCGAAAGCGUGGGGAGCGAACAGG
rnacentral:rRNA from 1 species